rnacentral:rRNA from 1 species
ACAGAGGUCCCGAGCGUUGUUCGGAUUUACUGGGCGUAAAGGGUGCGUAGGCGGUCGGGUAAGUCUGAUGUGAAAUUCCUGGGCUCAACCCAGAAACGGCAUUAGAUACUAUCCGGCUAGAGGAUUGGAGGGGGGAUUGGAAUUCUCGGUGUAGCAGUGAAAUGCGUAGAUAUCGAGAGGAACACCAGUGGCGAAGGCGAAUCCCUGGACAAUUCCUGACGCUGAGGCACGAAAGCUAGGGGAGCAAACAG